rfam:Caldibacillus debilis strain B4135 NODE_137, whole genome shotgun sequence.
UCCGCCGUGAGGCGGAAUCCGAAGGAAGCUGGAGGCAAACACUCGACCUGAGGUACACGAACCCAAUCGGAGGCCGUCACAGUCGGACGAGUCUGCGAAACAAGACGAAGUCCCAAGCCGCCAAGGACUGUGGAGGUAUAUUGGGCAGGUGCAUGAGUGGAAAGUGUCCACC